UGUGGUAGAUAACAUCUGUCAUAAACCAUCUAAAACAUCAACUUCCUACGCAAUACGAGUGGGUGAAUUCUUUUAGGAAAUGAACGACUCCCUGUGGUGCUUUGCUUGGAACCCUUUACAAAGUCAUCGAAAAUUGACAGAUCGGUGGAAUGUUAUGACGCAUCCUCAACCUCGCGCGUCUUUAUGAAGGUCUCUAGAGUUGUGGAGCAAUAUUGCAAUCCUGUCCAGAAGCAUAUUUUUCAAGGCACGGAUCUCGGAGUUAGGGGUUGGACGUAAACUGGAUUGAUAUACAAGUACAGCACUCUCUCCUUGACACAUACGCUGUAUGCGCUAUAGACGAAUACGCACUUCAGAUGCGGCAUGGAACGAAAUAUUCCAGUUGUGUAUGGAAAUAUUUGAAUGAUUACAAGGUCAUUUCUUCGUCAACAGAUAAAGUUUUCGAACGACGACGUUCGGAAAGGCCUAAUGGUGUGUGUACGUUGGCAUCGAUUGAAAAGCGUCAUUCAUGGUGACGCACACGCGAGGAUUUUGAAAUGACACCAACUCACGUGACUUGUGGACGAGUAUAAAUAAUCAUGGAGAGUGUUGCCUUUAAGCCAGUUCUGUCGAGUCCUUCUCUCUUCGCCAACUCUUCCUUACUAAUAUCUGUACUCAAGCCAAUGUGUGCUUUUCAGACUUUGAUUAUUCUGACCACGUUGGUGGUGGUUAGCAUCUCCAAUGCUCAUUUGCUUCCACAACCAUCCCACCAGUCGUUCAUCCUGAAGCGGCAAGAUCUCUUCAGUGUAUCUGUCAAAAGCAAGCGAUCGCUAGAAGACGAGGUCCAACUCUCCGAUUCUUUGCUCCUUGCCCGAUCUCAUAUUGGCUUCAAACAAUCCGUGUCUUUGCCGAACUUGAAGGCAUCCACAAAUCAUCAUUCCGUUCCAAAAAGAAGUUUGAGCAAACGUUCAGCUCUGCCAGUGGCUCCGUAUCGAGGCCACAAUUUCCAAAGAAACGUCCAACUUAGACAAAGGCCCAUCAAAAAUCGGUCUCGAUACUAUAGUACACAAGCUCAUCUCAUCCGACCUCGGACUUCCCCAGAACAAGAGACAGUUACAGUGCCUCGUUAAGCUUAGAAGACAUAGAUGACCACGUCGACCCAAUGGAGGAUAAGAAUGGAAAGGGUCAAUUUAUAUAUCCCGUGCCUUUGUUAUAUGAAGUUCAAGAUCGAGCUAGCAACCCUAGAAUGUUCAAAAGACAACAGAUAAGUGAAGUUUGAGAGGAUGUUUAUUGUCUGCUUUGCGCUAAAUCUUGAAAUAUAUGCAUGAACAAGUA